UGUGGCGGAAAAAUAGAAGGUAGUAAUGACAGAAAUUUGGGCAGCAAACGAAAACAAAAUUUGAAAACUAGUUUUUUUUUACAAUUUUUUUUCACGAAAUUUUAUUUUAUUUUUCACAACUUGAUAUCCAAUCUUUUGAGUUUGAAUGGAAACUAAUUUUUUUCAAAUUUUUUUGAAUUUUUUUCGAGUUUUUUUUCGAGAAACUACUAUACCGUAAUGCCGACAACAUCGAUUCUUACUCCAAAUUUGCUAGCUCUGAUACCAAUUUGAUACGAUCUCGUUUCGUGAUUGAUUCGAGUUGUUUGUUUCCCGAUCGUGAAUUUGAGUAAGGCUAAGUUCGUUUCUACAAAAUAGAAGAAAGGCUACAACC
rnacentral:lncRNA from 1 species